GACGAACGCUGGCGGCGUGCUUAACACAUGCAAGUCGAACGGAAAGGCCCUGCUUUUGUGGGGUGCUCGAGUGGCGAACGGGUGAGUAACACGUGAGUGACCUGCCCUUGACUUUGGGAUAACUUCAGGAAACUGGGGCUAAUACCGGAUAGGAGCUCCUGCUGCAUGGUGGGGGUUGGAAAGUUUCGGCGGUUGGGGAUGGACUCGCGGCUUAUCAGCUUGUUGGUGGGGUAGUGGCUUACCACGGCUUUGACGGGUCGCCGGCCUGAGAGGGUGAGCGGCCACAGUGGGACUGAGAUACGGCACAGACUCCUACGGGAGGCAGCAGUGGGGAAUAUUGCACAAUGGGCGGAAGCCUGAUGCAGCAACGCCGCGUGCGGGAUGACGGCCUUCGGGUUGUAAACCGCUUUCGCCUGUGACGAAGCGUGAGUGACGGUAAUGGGUAAAGAAGCACCGGCUAACUACGUG
rnacentral:rRNA from 1 species